GAUGAACGCUGGCGGCGUGCCUAAUACAUGCAAGUCGAGCGAACGGACGAGAAGCUUGCUUCUCUGAUGUUAGCGGCGGACGGGUGAGUAACACGUGGAUAACCUACCUAUAAGACUGGGAUAACUUCGGGAAACCGGAGCUAAUACCGGAUAAUAUUUUGAACCGCAUGGUUCAAAAGUGAAAGACGGUCUUGCUGUCACUUAUAGAUGGAUCCGCGCUGCAUUAGCUAGUUGGUAAGGUAACGGCUUACCAAGGCAACGAUGCAUAGCCGACGGGAGGGGGUGGUCGGCCACACUGGAACUGAGACACGGUCCAGACUCCUAAGGGAGGCAGCAGUAGGGAAUCUUCCGCAAUGGGCGAAAGCCUGACGGAGCAACGCCGCGUGAGUGAUGAAGGUCUUCGGAUCGUAAAACUCUGUUAUUAGGGAAGAACAUAUGUGUAAGUAACUGUGCACAUCUUGACGGUACCUAAUCAGAAAGCCACGGCUAACUACGUG
rnacentral:rRNA from 1 species